GAUGAACGCUGGCGGCGUGCCUAAUACAUGCAAGUCGAGCGAACAGACGAGGAGCUUGCUCCUCUGACGUUAGCGGCGGACGGGUGAGUAACACGUGGAUAACCUACCUAUAAGACUGGGAUAACUUCGGGAAACCGGAGCUAAUACCGGAUAAUAUAUUGAACCGCAUGGUUCAAUAGUGAAAGACGGUUUUGCUGUCACUUAUAGAUGGAUCCGCGCCGCAUUAGCUAGUUGGUAAGGUAACGGCUUACCAAGGCAACGAUGCGUAGCCGACCUGAGAGGGGGACCCGCCAAACUGGAACCGGGACCCCGGCCCAGCCCCGAGGGGGGGCAGCAGGUAGGGAUCUUCCGGAAAGGGGCAAAGCCCUAAGGGACAACCGCGGGGGAGGGAAGGAGGUUUUUGGAAUGUAAAACCUUUUUAAUAGGGAAAAAAAAAUGGUGAAAUAAACUUUCCCCUUUUGGCGGGAACUAAACAAAAAGCCCCCGCUAACCUCGG
rnacentral:rRNA from 1 species